AUGCACGCUGGCGGCGUGCCUCAUACCUGCAAGUCGCACGCUGGAAAUCUAGCUUGCUCGAUUGAAGGAGUGGCGAACGGGUGAGUAAUACAUAAGCAACCUACCCACGAAGACUGGGAUAAUCUCUGGAAACGGGGACUAAUACCGGAUAGGUAAUCGGAAGGCAUCUUCUGAUUAUUAAAGGUUAAAAACACUGGUGGAUGGGCUUAUGGCGCAUUAGUUAGUUGGUGAGGUAACGGCCCACCAAGACGAUGAUGCGUAGCCGGCCUGAGAGGGUGAACGGCCACAUUGGGACUGAGACACGGCCCAGACUCCUACGGGAGGCAGCAGUAGGGAAUUUUCGGCAAUGGGGGAAACCCUGACCGAGCAACGCCGCGUGAGUGAUGACGGCCUUCGGGUUGUAAAGCUCUGUUGUAAGGGAAGAACGGUAGAUAGAGAAUAUCUAAAUGACGGUACCUUACCAGAAAGCCACGGCUAUCUACGUG
rnacentral:rRNA from 1 species